rnacentral:rRNA from 1 species
AACGAACGCUGGCGGCAUGCCUAACACAUGCAAGUCGAACGAGACCUUCGGGUCUAGUGGCGCACGGGUGCGUAACGCGUGGGAACCUGCCUUUAGGUUCGGAAUAACUCGGAGAAAUUUGAGCUAAUACCGGAUGAUGUCUUCGGACCAAAGAUUUAUCGCCUUUAGAUGGGCCCGCGUUGGAUUAGCUAGUUGGUGGGGUAAAGGCCUACCAAGGCGACGAUCCAUAGCUGGUCUGAGAGGAUGAUCAGCCACACUGGGACUGAGACACGGCCCAGACUCCUACGGGAGGCAGCAGUGGGGAAUAUUGGACAAUGGGCGAAAGCCUGAUCCAGCAAUGCCGCGUGAGUGAUGAAGGCCUUAGGGUUGUAAAGCUCUUUUACCCGAGAUGAUGAUGACAGUAUCGGGAGAAUAAGCUCCGGCUAACUCCGUG